AUUGAACGCUGGCGGCAGGCCUAACACAUGCAAGUCGAGCGGAGCGGCGGACGGGUGAGUAAUGCCUAGGAAUCUGCCUGGUAGUGGGGGAUAACGUCCGGAAACGGGCGCUAAUACCGCAUACUCUCAGAUGAGCAUAGGUCGGAUUAGCUAGUUGGUGGGGUAAAGGCCUACCAAGGCGACGAUCCGUAACUGGUCUGAGAGGAUGAUCAGUAAAACGGAAACGGGGAAACGGUCCAGCCUCCUCGGGGAGGCAGCAGGGGGAAAUAUUGGAAAAUGGGCGAAAGCCUGAGCCAGCCAGGCCGCGUGUGUGAAGAAGGUCUUCGGAUUGUAAAGCACUUUAAGUAGGGAGGCGUUACCAACAGAGUAAGCACCGGCUAACUUCGUGCCAGCCGCCGCGGAAAUU
rnacentral:rRNA from 1 species